UACGUAGGGUGCGAGCGUUGUCCGGAAUUACUGGGCGUAAAGAGCUUGUAGGUGGUUUGUCGCGUUGUUCGUGAAAACUCACAGCUCAACUGUGGGCGUGCGGGCGAUACGGGCAGACUGGAGUACUGCAGGGGAGACUGGAAUUCCUGGUGUAGCGGUGGAAUGCGCAGAUAUCAGGAGGAACACCGGUGGCGAAGGCGGGUCUCUGGGCAGUAACUGACGCUGAGGAGCGAAAGCGUGGGGAGCGAACAGG
rnacentral:rRNA from 1 species